rnacentral:rRNA from 1 species
AUUGAACGCUGGCGGCAGGCCUAACACAUGCAAGUCGAACGAGUGGCGGACGGGUGAGUAAUGUCUGGGAAACUGCCCUUGGGUUCGGAAUAACAUCGGGAAACUGAUGCUAAUACCGGAUGCCCAGGGAUGAGCCCGCGUAGGAUUAGCUAGUUGGUGGGGUAAAGGCCUACCAAGGCGACGAUCCUUAGCUGGUCUGAGAGGAUGAUCAGCCACACUGGGACUGAGACACGGCCCAGACUCCUCCGGGAGGCAGCAGUAGGGAAUAUUGCACAAUGGGCGCAAGCCUGAUGCAGCCAUGCCGCGUGUAUGAAGAAGGCCUUCGGGUUGUAAAGUACUUUCAGCGGGGAGGCGUUACCCGCAGAAGAAGCACCGGCUAACUCCGUGCCAGCCGCCGCGGUAAUAC